AUUGAACGCUGGCGGCAGGCCUAACACAUGCAAGUCGAGCGGAUGAUGGGAGCUUGCUCCUGGAUUCAGCGGCGGACGGGUGAGUAAUGCCUAGGAAUCUGCCUGGUAGUGGGGGACAACGUUUCGAAAGGAACGCUAAUACCGCAUACGUCCUACGGGAGAAAGCAGGGGACCUUCGGGCCUUGCGCUAUCAGAUGAGCCUAGGUCGGAUUAGCUAGUAGGUGAGGUAAAGGCUCACCUAGGCGACGAUCCGUAACUGGUCUGAGAGGAUGAUCAGUCACACUGGAACUGAGACACGGUCCAGACUCCUACGGGAGGCAGCAGUGGGGAAUAUUGGACAAUGGGCGAAAGCCUGAUCCAGCCAUGCCGCGUGUGUGAAGAAGGUCUUCGGAUUGUAAAGCACUUUAAGUUGGGAGGAAGGGCAGUAAGCGAAUACCUUGCUGUUUUGACGUUACCGACAGAAUAAGCACCGGCUAACUCUGUGCCAGCCGCCGCAGUAAGAC
rnacentral:rRNA from 1 species